rnacentral:rRNA from 1 species
CCUACGGGAGGCAGCAGUGGGGAAUCUUGCGCAAUGGGCGAAAGCCUGACGCAGCCAUGCCGCGUGAAUGAUGAAGGUCUUAGGAUUGUAAAAUUCUUUCAGUAGGGACGAUAAUGACGGUACCUACAGAAGAAGCCCCGGCUAACUUCGUGCCAGCAGCCGCGGUAAUACGAAGGGGGCUAGCGUUGCUCGGAAUUACUGGGCGUAAAGGGAGCGUAGGCGGGUUAUCAAGUUGGAGGUGAAAGCCCAGGGCUCAACCUUGGAAUUGCCUUCAAAACUGAUAGCCUAGAGUAUGAUAGAGGUAUGUGGAACUCCGAGUGUAGAGGUGAAAUUCGUAGAUAUUCGGAAGAACACCAGUGGCGAAGGCGACAUACUGGGUCAUGACUGACGCUGAGGCUCGAAAGCGUGGGGAGCAAACAGGAUUAGAUACCCUGGUAGUCCACGCUGUAAACGAUGAUUGCUAGUUGUCGGACGGCAUGCCGUUCGGUGACGCNGCACGACAUAAGUACGAUCCGCCGCGGGAGGUACGGUCGCGAGAAGUUAAACUAACGUUAAAGAAGUAGUUAGGCGUGAGAGNGCGACGGACGACGACGAGGGAGGAGG